rnacentral:rRNA from 1 species
AGAGUUUGAUCAUGGCUCAGAACGAACGCUGGCGGCAGGCCUAACACAUGCAAGUCGAACGAGAAGCCACCUUCGGGUGGUGGACAGUGGCAGACGGGUGAGUAACGCGUGGGAACGUGCCUUUCGGUUCGGAAUAACCCAGGGAAACUUGGGCUAAUACCGGAUACGCCCUUCGGGGGAAAGAUUCAUCGCCGAAAGAUCGGCCCGCGUCGGAUUAGCUAGUUGGUGGGGUAAUGGCUCACCAAGGCGACGAUCCGUAGCUGGUCUGAGAGGAUGACCAGCCACACUGGGACUGAGACACGGCCCAGACUCCUACGGGAGGCAGCAGUGGGGAAUAUUGGACAAUGGGCGAAAGCCUGAUCCAGCCAUGCCGCGUGGGUGAAGAAGGCCUUAGGGUUGUAAACCCCUUUCAGCGGGGAAGAUAAUGACGGUACCCGCAGAAGAAGUCCCGGCUAACUCCGUGCCAGCAGCCGCGGUA